AAAUAAAAACUCUUUGUGUGUUCAAGAACAACUAUGUUCUAAAUAUCCUUUCUUUCUCCCUAAAAGCUUUAGUUACUAUAUUCAUAUCAUAAUCCCCCACAUAGAUGCAAGUAUGCUCUACACCUGCCUCAACUGAGGAUCUUGUGUAUUAGAAAACAUCUGACCUUCGAUCCAUACUACGGUCCUCACUAUUAUGAAAUAUCAAUUUUAAUUGAUAGUCUGUGUUAUGCCUAUGGUUGGCUGUUUGAUGAGGAUUCAGUUGAGACUGAGUUUCAUGAUAUGUGAGGCUCCCGACCAGUAUGGUAUCAGAGCAUCGUUAAGAAGAAGGGGUGCAUAUGGUGUGAAUAUUAGUAAAGAAAGUAAGUAAGGGAGAAAACCACUUACACAUGGAAACACUUGAGUUUUUAUGAUUCAAUAAGUUUUUAUGAUUCAAACGGAACAUAAGAAUUUUUUAAUUUUUUUUUUUUAUUAUUU
rnacentral:lncRNA from 1 species